rnacentral:misc_RNA from 1 species
GAUGAAGAACGUAGCGAAAUGCGAUAAGUAAUGUGAAUUGCAGAAUUCAGUGAAUCAUCGAAUCUUUGAACGCACCUUGCACCCUUUGGCUAUUCCGAAGGGUAUGCCUGUUAGAGUAUCAUGAACACCUCAACUCUCAUGGUUUGCCAUGAUGAGCUUGGACUUUGGGGGUCUUGCUGGCCUGUGGUCAGCUCCUCUCAAAUGGAUUAGCUUGCCAGUGUUUGGUGGCAUCACAGGUGUGAUAACUAUCUACGCUUGUGGUUUUCCACCAGGUAACCUUCAGCAAUGGGGGUUCGCUGGGGCUCAUAAAUGUCUCUCCUCAGUGAGGACAGCUCUUUGAACGUUUGAUCUCAAAUCAGGUAGGACUACCCGCUGAACUUAAGCAUAUCAAUAAGCGGAGGA